UACGUAGGGUGCAAGCGUUGUCCGGAAUUAUUGGGCGUAAAGAGCUCGUAGGCGGUCUGUCGCGUCGGCUGUGAAAACUCGGGGCUCAACUCCGAGCUUGCAGUCGAUACGGGCAGGCUAGAGUUCGGCAGGGGAGACUGGAAUUCCUGGUGUAGCGGUGAAAUGCGCAGAUAUCAGGAGGAACACCGGUGGCGAAGGCGGGUCUCUGGACCGAUACUGACGCUGAGGAGCGAAAGCGUGGGGAGCGAACAGG
rnacentral:rRNA from 1 species